rnacentral:rRNA from 1 species
AGCAGCCGCGGUAAUUCCAGCUCCAAUAGCGUAUAUUAAAGUUGUUGCAGUUAAAAAGCUCGUAGUUGAAUUUCGGGACUAAUAUGUCGGUCGUACUUUGUACGUACUAGCAUUAUUGGUUUCUCCCUUCUGACGAACCACGAUGUCAUUAAUUUGGUGUCAUGGGAAAUCAGGACUGUUACUUUGAAAAAAUUAGAGUGUUUAAAGCAAGCUCGCGCUUGAAUACAUUAGCAUGGAAUAAUGAAAUAGGACGUUUGAUUCUAUUUUGUUGGUUUCUAGGAUCGACGUAAUGAUUAAUAGGGAUAGUUGGGGGCAUUAGUAUUCAAUUGUCAGAGGUGAAAUUCUUGGAUUUAUUGAAGACUAACUACUGCGAAAGCAUUUGCCAAGGAUGUUUUCAUUAAUCAAGAACGAAAGUUAGGGGAUCGAAGACGAUCAGAUACCGUCGUAGUCUUAACCAUAAACUAUGCCGACUAGGGAUCGGAUGAUGUAAUUUUUAAUGACUCAUUCGGCGC